rnacentral:rRNA from 1 species
GAUGAACGCUGGCGGCGUGCCUAAUACAUGCAAGUCGAGCGAACAGACGAGGAGCUUGCUCCUUUGACGUUAGCGGCGGCCGGGUGAGUAACACGUGGGUAACCUACCUAUAAGACUGGGAUAACUUCGGGAAACCGGAGCUAACACCGGAUAAUAUUUCGAACCGCAUGGUUCGAUAGUGAAAGAUGGCUUUGCUAUCACUUAUAGAUGGACCUGCGCCGUAUUAGCUAGUUGGUAAGGUAACGGCUUACCAAGGCAACGAUACGUAGCCGACCUGAGAGGGUGAUCGGCCACACUGGAACUGAGACACGGUCCAGACUCCUACGGGAGGCAGCAGUAGGGAAUCUUCCGCAAUGGGCGAAAGCCUGACGGAGCAACGCCGCGUGAGUGAUGAAGGUCUUCGGAUCGUAAAACUCUGUUAUUAGGGAAGAACAAACGUGUAAGUAACUGUGCACGUCUUGACGGUACCUAAUCAGAAAGCCACGGCUAACUACGUG